GGAGGGAGAGAAAUUUGCUCUCCAUUCUUCGUACACCAUCCACCUUCCUUUUCGUUCUGUCGCUGGUGACUGUGAGUGCCGGAGUCUUCCUCUUCAUCCUCCUUUGCGACUGACGCCAAUGACCUCCUUACUUUCUCGAGCUGACUCAUGUCUGAACUGGGGAAGAGUAAGAGAAAAUCUGUCGCUCUCUUCCUCCUCUUCAUAGCUCGCUGCUGCCGUAGGUAAAUACGGCAGCUCCGUCCAUCACUCAAAUCCAUGAUCUGGGUUCUUCAAUGUUUUACUAUGGAAGUUAGUUCGUUGUUGGAAGAGGUUCAAAUUGAGGCUGUCUCUUCCCCUGCACCACCGCCGUUCUUCUUUUGCCUUUGUCAUUGGGUCUCUUAUUCCUCAUCUUGACUUGCUUCAACCUUGCUGUUCUGCAUGUUCGAAUAUGGAGAGAGAAGUUCAAGCAAGUUGACAUAUUACUCUUUUGAGGACGAUGAAGAAGUAUGGACUUGAAUUUUAUUUGAGUUUAAUUUGAAUUUAUAUAUGAAUGAAAUUAGGGGAAACUAGACUAAUUCAAAUAUAGAUAUUGGAGAAUUUUGAGAACAAUUGUUGGGAUGAAUGGAAGAAUUGAAGCUUGGUAUUAGUUAAGAUUGGAUGUUUGUGAGAUAUUUUAUGAAAUAGCUGUUGGAAGGAGUUGGCCCAUGAUGAUUAAACAUGUGUAAUAAUUUAAUUGUUGUUGUUUAGAAAAUUUUUGGAAGGUACUUUUCUUUGAUAGAAGUUGAAAGCUUGGUCAUUUCAAAUACUGAUUUAGGACAACUUUUAGUAAAGGAAUUGAAAAAAAAAAACAGAAAAAACACUUGGUCUUAUGGGCUAAAUAUUGUUUAAAAUAAAGGGUAUUUGAUAAAAUGUUUGAAAAGAGGAAUUUUGUAUUUAAAGUGGCAAAAUAUAUGUGAUAAUUAUAUUAUUGUUGAUUAAAUAAUCUUGAAAGACAUUUGUUCUUUGCAAUGAAAGUUAAGGUAGAAUUUAAAGGUUGUUGGGAGAGAUAUUUGAGUUGGUAAUUCAAGAACUAAAUUGCUAUUUGGACAUUCAUUUGGGAUAUUUUAGGAUGUUUGAUGCCAUACUAAGAAAGAUAAAAGUGAAGGUUUGCUUUCUGUUAUUUAUCUAAGUUGCUUUGGAUUAAAUAGUUUGGACGGUAAAGCAUGUUUGAGGAAGUGACAAUGGUAUUACUUGAAUAAUAGGAAUUUAAGGAUAAAGCAUUGUUCCUAGAAGAUUUGUUUGGAAGUAAGUUAUACACUUGGGAGCUCUACAUGUAAGUGGAUAGCUUCCCAAUUGAUAUUUCAUUAAAAUCUCCUUUAUUCAAAUAUUACAUUUUUAUGCAAAUUCUUUUUACGAUAACGAUGUGAUUAUGAGAUAUUUUAUUGAUUAAAUUACUUUAUUUCGUGAAAUUAUUUUAUCAAAAUUGAUCAUUUUAGUCAAUCAGUAAAUACAAGUUUGAAUUUUAAUUAUGAGAUUUCAUUUUGGAAAUUAUUGAACUGUUACGAAAAAAUGAUUCAUGCGAGUUCGACAUUGAAAGGAAAAUUUGAUUGAAUAGUGAUCAAUUUCUCGCAUGUUUGAAAAUGACUUUACAAAAGGGACUUUAUACGAAACACUGGUUGCUAACGGUAGUUCCGUUAGCCCUUAGCGCGCCAUGGUACACCUAGCUAGCAGGGUGCUUAUAGGAAGUGCUAGCCCCGUGCGAUGGCCAACACACGUGGAACGAAGGGAUGGUUAUUCGUGAGCAUAGUACUCACGUUUGUUUCGUGGUUUCAAGCCACAUUUGGUUAGCAAUACCCUCGUGGACUGUGUGUCCACGUUUGUUUCGUGACUUCAGCCACGUUUGGUUAUUUACCCUCGUGGAUUGUGUGUCCACGUUUGUAUUCGUGGCAUCAGCCGCAUUCAGUUAUUUACUCUCGUGAACUGUGUGUUCACGUUUGUUUAUUGUUCUGAUAAGUCCCUAAAAUUUUAAAUUUGAUUAUUUGGUGAUUUUAUAUUCCAUUGAUUUUUAUUUAGUAAAUUUUUACAAACAUUAAUUUCAUUUAUGUGCUUUCUUGAGAUCAAGUGAUAAUAACAUUUGUUAUGGUA